rnacentral:rRNA from 1 species
GGAGGAAUAUUGCGCAAUGGGCGAAAGCCUGACGCAGCGACGCCGAGUGGAGGAUGAAGGUCCUAGGAUUGUAAACUCCUGUCGGAUGGGAAGAAAAGGUUUGUUUUUAAUAGAGACGAAUCAUGACGGUACCAUCAAAGGAAGCACCGGCUAACUUCGUGCCAGCAGCCGCGGUAAUACGAAGGGUGCAAGCGUUAUUCGGAUUUACUGGGCGUAAAGAGUGCGUAGGCGGUUUGUUAAGUUUGUUGUUAAAGAUCCUGGCCUAACCAGGAGGUUGCGAUGAAAACUGGCAGACUAGAGGGUGAGAGAGAGAAGUGGAAUUCCCGGAGUAGCGGUAAAAUGCGUGGAUCUCGGGAGGAACACCAAUGGCGAAGGCAGCUUCUUGGUUCACACCUGACGUUGAGGCACGAAAGCGUGGGGAGCAAACAGGAUUAGAUACCCCCGUAGUCC